rnacentral:rRNA from 1 species
UACGUAGGUGGCAAGCGUUAUCCGGAAUUAUUGGGCGUAAAGCGCGCGCAGGCGGUUUCUUAAGUCUGAUGUGAAAGCCCACGGCUCAACCGUGGAGGGUCAUUGGAAACUGGGGAACUUGAGUGCAGAAGAGAAAAGCGGAAUUCCACGUGUAGCGGUGAAAUGCGUAGAGAUGUGGAGGAACACCAGUGGCGAAGGCGGCUCUCUGGUCUGUAACUGACGCUGAGGCGCGAAAGCGUGGGGAGCGAACAGG